AAUGGAUUGGAUAUUGUAGAAGGUUGAAGUGGAGAUAAAUGAUUCGGAUGAUGGGCAGGCGCUAUGACCCAGGGGACAGCUUUUUCCCAUUGCCUGCCUUCCCUGUUGCCGGCCGGCCAUUAUACUUUCUGUUUCCCUCCCGGGCAUGGCUCCCGAUGGAGCGUUGUGGGUUCUCUCCAUGUGGAGCUCUGAAAUCUCUCUUUUGGCCUCGACUGGAAUGCAUCUGCCAAGUCCGGUUGAUUGAGGACACCCACACAAAAGAAAAUGGCACGGCUUCAAAGUUCCCCAUAAUCUCAUACAUAGUGUCAUUCUUGGUCAAACCCAGUGUGUAUAUUUAAUUUGAUCUAAUAUGUCUAACUAAUUUUACCUCGCUGCAGUUCACUUUCCAAUUAUUUCUUUAAUGUUUUUAUUCUAUGUAGCGCUAUCC
rnacentral:lncRNA from 11 species